rnacentral:rRNA from 1 species
UAGUGUAGCGGUGAAAUGCGUAGAUAUUAGGAAGAACACCAGUGGCGAAGGCGACUUUCUGGACGAAAACUGACGCUGAGGCGCGAAAGCCAGGGGAGCGAACGGGAUUAGAUACCCCCGGUAGUCCUGGCCGUAAACGAUGGGUACUAGGUGUAGGAGGUAUCGACCCCUUCUGUGCCGGAGUUAACGCAAUAAGUACCCCGCCUGGGGAGUACGACCGCAAGGUUGAAACUCAAAGGAAUUGACGGGGGCCCGCACAAGCGGUGGAGUAUGUGGUUUAAUUCGACGCAACGCGAAGAACCUUACCAGGUCUUGACAUUGAUGGACAGAACUAGAGAUAGUUCCUCUUCUUCGGAAGCCAGAAAACAGGUGGUGCACGGUUGUCGUCAGCUCGUGUCGUGAGAUGUUGGGUUAAGUCCCGCAACGAGCGCAACCCCUAUCUUAUGUUGCCAGCACGUAAUGGUGGGAACUCAUGAGAGACUGCCGCAGACAAUGCGGAGGAAGGCGGGGAUGACGUCAAAUCAUCAUGCCCCUUAUGACCUGGGCUACACACGUACUACAAUGGGAGUUAAUAGACGGAAGCGAGAUCGCGGGAUGGAGCAAACCCGAGAAACACUCUCUCAGUUCGGAUCGUAGGCUGCAACUCGCCUACGUGAAGUCGGAAUCGCUAGUAAUCGCAGGUCAGCAUACUGCGGUGAAUACGUUCCCGGGCCUUGUACACACCGCCCGUCACACCACGAAAGUCGGAAGUGCCCAAAGCCGGUGGGGUAACCUUCGGGAGUCAGCCGUCUAAGGUAAAGUCGAUGAUUGGGGUGAAGUCGUAACAAGGUAGCCGUAUCGGAAGG